AUAGUGUAGGGAGCUCUAUAGCCAGGCAGUAAAGCUGGGCUAGUGUUGAAAAGGGAGAGUAAUAAAUGUGAAUAAAAGCAGGCUCCAGUUGUGUUAAAAUAAAAUAAGAAGAGCUAAAAGAAAGUGUGAGUUUGGAGGAUGUGAAUGGGAAUCAGUGAAUAAGAAGAUGGAGUGAAUGUGAGAGAAUGAGCUCCAUUUGAGAAGCACAUUGAUUGCUUGAAAGAAGCUCCAAUGUGAAGCUCUGUGAGAGCAGUGAGUGGGAGCAGCAGCCAGUGCUGACGGAGCCUGGGAGAAGGAUAAGAGGAUCUUUGUCAAGCUGCACUUCCGGCCUACGGCUGUAGCUCCAUGAAUCUGCCCGAUCCCACGAUCUCGGAAGCGCAGCAAGGAGGAGCCUGGGCAGGUCUUGGAUGGGAGACGGUUGCGAGUAGGUUACGGUUACAGUGGCUGCGAGAAGGUUACGGAUAGACCAAGACCAGCCGGGUGUUGUAGGCUUAUUUUUGCUUUUUCGUUUUCUCUCCCACCACAAGAGGGCGAUCAACUCAAUGCAAUCUUCCAUUCACUCUUUUCUGAGGGUUAUUCAUUUAUUAUUGUGUCCUUAAAGGCAAACACACUCAUUAUUAUUCACUCAAAUCAAAAUUCAAAGUCAAUCUCAUGUUUAAAGGGUUACUACAACUCAUUUACUCCCUAAUCACUUUUUUAAACAUUUCUGACUUACGCAAUACGUUUCUUUAGAUCCCUCAUCUUUUUCUCAUGAAAAAUGUAUAAAAAAGUGUAAAACUUAAAAUACCUCCAUUUUAGUAACAUUGACAUCUUACUGACCCCCAAAAGGAUUUUUAUUGAUUUGAUUUUUUAUAAAAAAAAUAUCAAAUAUGGUGUCUGACUUUCAUGAACUGGCCAGCCACCACAUAAUUAACCCUCACACCACCAAGGAUUUAAUAAUUUGCUCACUGACUGAUAGCAACGCUAGCAGACAAACAGUACAGAAUUUUUUUUAAAUCCUGCCAGGAUUUAAAGGGAAACUAUAGUGCCAGGAAAAUAAACUUGUUUUCCUGGCACUAUAGCUUACUCCUUUGUCAAGGACCACCUCUGUGGUGUUAAAGGGGUUAAUAACUAUCCCUUCUAUCACUUACCUGGGUCCAACACCAAUAUCCCUUGGCGCUGGCUCAGCUCCGCCCACGCUCCUCCUCUGCCGCGGGAGACCUAAU